rnacentral:lncRNA from 1 species
CUGCUUGCCCAUGGGGGCGGGGUUGGGCAGAGGUGACCACCAGUCUAGCUGCCAGGGAAGGCUCUGUCUACCAGGCUGAAGGCAGACCUGGAGCAGUGGUCUAGAUGGACAGGAGGGUGCAACUGGCAGGAGGUACAAUAUGUGCAGCCAAGAGCCACUUUGUCUCACUGUGUGACCCUUUCCCUCUCAGAAGGUCCUUUUCUCCACUCAUGUGGCCAUGACGGGAUCUGACCUCACUAUAUGAAUACCUGGCCAGUGCCACCUCAUGUUGGACAUCAGAGACACAGAGGAAGAUGCAGUUUACCUUGGCAGCCUCCAGGCUUUCCCAGGUGGGAAAUAGAGUCCUUGGAGAGGAUGCUUAGGCCUCAGCAGCACAGAGAUCUGCUUCACCUCUCCAGGAAGAGCAGGUAGGCUGUCACCGCAGUGGACACAAGGCCAGAUGCAGGGUCAGAUGAAGUCCCCCAGCAAGUCUCAGCCAUAGAUGAUUUCCCUACCAGGUAUGGUUCAGCUUUGUCUUGAAUACCUCCAGUUACAAAAAGCUCACUACCUUCCAGUACAACCAUGGUUGGACUAU